rnacentral:lncRNA from 1 species
GGUGUAUCGGAACGGAAACACCGGUCGUCAUCGGUGGAAUCGAAUUAGUAGUGGCUUACGAUAUAUAACAUUAGAAUCUGAUACUGCUUUUCCACGCGUUUGACAGCUUCAUCAGGCAACUUCGAGAUCAAAAGCUUUAUAUAAACGUUGAAUGUAAUUUUUCAGUUUAAAAGUAUAAGAAACAUUGAUAUAGUCAAACUUCGGAACAACCUGCA